AACGAACGCUGGCGGCGCGCCUAAUACAUGCAAGUCGAGCGAGAAGGUGUAGCAAUACACUUGUAAAGCGGCGAACGGGUGAGGAAUACAUGGGUAAUCUACCAUCGAGUGGGGAAUAACCAACCGAAAGGUUGGCUAAUACCGCGUACGCCUCCGGAUCUUCGGGUUCGGAGGGAAAGCUGCACUGUGAGUGUAGCGCUCUUUGAUGAGCUCAUGUCCUAUCAGCUUGUUGGUAGGGUAACGGCCUACCAAGGCUUUGACGGGUAGCUGGUCUGAGAGGACGAUCAGCCACACUGGCACUGCGACACGGGCCAGACUCCUACGGGAGGCAGCAGUAAGGAAUAUUGCGCAAUGGGCGAAAGCCUGACGCAGCGACGCCGCGUGGGGGAUGAAGGUCUUCGGAUUGUAAACCCCUUUCGGGAGGGAAGAUGGAACGAGCAAUCGUUCGGACGGUACCUCCAGAAGCAGCCACGGCCAACUUCGUGCCAGCAGCCGC
rnacentral:rRNA from 1 species